UAAGUAACUGUAUUAGCAACUG
rnacentral:siRNA from 1 species